UAACAAGGAUUCCCCUAGUAACUGCGAGUGAAGCGGGAUGAGCUCAAAUUUAAAAUCUAGUGGCUUUCAGUCGCUCGAGUUGUAAUCUGGAGAAGUGUUUUCCGCGUCGGACCGUGUACAAGUCUCUUGGAAUAGAGCUUCAUAGAGGGUGAGAGUCCCGUCCAUGACACGGAUUACCGGUGCUUUUGUGAUACACUCUCGAAGAGUCGAGUUGUUUGGGAAUGCAGCUCAAAAUGGGUGGUAAAUUCCAUCUAAAGCUAAAUAUUGGCGAGAGACCGAUAGCGAACAAGUACCGUGAGGGAAAGAUGAAAAGCACUUUGGAAAGAGAGUUAAACAGUACGUGAAAUUGUUGAAAGGGAAACGCUUGAAGUCAGUCGCGUCGUCCGGGACUCAGCCUUGCUCUUUUGCUUGGUGUACUUCCUGGUUUGACGGGUCAACAUCGAUUUUGGAUGGCGGAUAAAGGCGGAGGGAAUGUGGCACCUUUCGGGGUGUGUUAUAGCCCUUCGUUCGUAUACGCUGACUGGGAUCGAGGACUGCAGCACGCCUUUAUGGCCGGGGGUUCGCCUCACG
rnacentral:rRNA from 1 species